AUUGAACGCUGGCGGCAGGCCUAACACAUGCAAGUCGAGCGAGCGGCGGACGGGUGAGUAAUGUAUGGGGACUGCCCGAUAGAGGGGGCAAACUACUGGAAACGGUAGCUAAUACCGCAUACUAUCGGAUAACCCAUAUGGGAUUAGCUAGUAGGUGAGGUAAUGGCUCACCUAGGCGACGAUCCCUAGCUGGUCUGAGAGGAUGAUCAGCGAAACUGGUACUGAGAAGCGGCCCAGACGCCUACGGGGGCAGCAGUGGGGAAUAAAGCACAAUGGGCGCAAGCCUGAUGCAGCCAUGCCGCGUGUAUGAAGAAGGCCCUAGGGUUGUAAAGUACUUUCAGUCGGGAGGCGUUACCGAAAGAAGAAGCACCGGCUAACUCCGUGCCAGCCGCCGCGGUAAUAC
rnacentral:rRNA from 1 species